rnacentral:rRNA from 1 species
AUUGAACGCUGGCGGCAGGCCUAACACAUGCAAGUCGAACGAGUGGCGGACGGGUGAGUAAUGUCUGGGAAACUGCCCGAUGGAGGGGGAGAACUACUGGAAACGGUAGCUAAUACCGCAUACCAUUGGAUGUGACUAGAUGGGAGUAGCUAGUAGGUGGGGUAACGGCUCACCUAGGCGACGAUCCCUAGCUGGUCCGAGAGGAUGACCAGCCACACGGGACAGAGGACACGGUCCAGACUCGUACGGGAGGCAGCGGUGAGGAAUAUUGGCCAAUGGGCGCAAGCCUAAUGCAGCCAUGCGGCGUGUAUGAAGAGGGCCUUCGGGUUGUAAAGUACUUUAAGCGAGGAGGCGUUACUCGCAGAAGAAGCACCGGCUAACUCCGUGCCAGCAGCCGCGGUAAUAC